UACGUAGGGAGCAAGCGUUGUCCGGAAUCAUUGGGCGUAAAGCGCGCGUAGGUGGCCCCGUAAGUCCGCUGUGAAAGUCAAAGGCUCAACCUUUGAAAGCCGGUGGAUACUGUGGGACUAGAGUACGGAAGAGGCGAGUGGAAUUCCUGGUGUAGCGGUGGAAUGCGCAGAUAUUAGGAAGAACACCAGUGGCGAAGGCGGCUCACUGGUCCGGUACUGACGCUGAGGUGCGAAAGCGUGGGGAGCAAACAGG
rnacentral:rRNA from 1 species